CGGUUCUCGGUGCCGGGUACUCACAAAAUAUGUCUCCCUUAGUGUCCCACAGAAACAUUCUGGGUGAAAUCUGAAUUAAGUGCUGUGAGUCUUGAUAAAUUGGAGAAGUGCCCAAGAGAAAUUCAUCAUCCUGAGAUACAAAAGGUAGGAAGUGACUUUGUUUGGUUUGGUUCUUUUUCUUUAUUGUUUUCUGGAAAUAGAAGUAAUUAAGUAUAGAUACUACUGGUUUGUUUCUUCCAGUAGCUGAUAAUACUAAUACCAAUAAUAAUAAUAAUAAGAGUAAAGUAAUACUACUUCAACUGUCUUUAUUUAUCCAUUGGACUGGCCAUUUUAAAUCUAAACUUCUAAACACAAAUCAAACCAUCAUCCUUGUAGAAUCUUUAAUAGGAGUGGGCUAAAGAUCCUGGUUUUGUUGACAGGAUUUAUUGGUUCAUGAAGAGCAAGAGGUAAGUACAAGCCUAACUACCCUCUAGCUCACAGACCUGCCCGGUGAAUAGAGCUUUGUUUUUUUGAUGGGCUUGUGAUGACUUUGAAAUCAAUUGCUCAUUCAUUACAGUAAAAAAAAAAAAAAAUUGUUUUGAACAUGACAGCAAAAAUAACUUUAAGCACAACUUAAUAAUAAUAGAUCACCAAUUUUAGUUAAUAAUUUUAUGCUGUACUCUUGGGUGAGGGAAGACUCGGACACUCAAUAUGAGAUCAGCAAGCUAUGUUUAUUGCAGAGAGUAUCAGACACUUAUACAGCACAUAAUAAGCUUAUGAAUAUUCUGUAAGCCAAGCGAUCUAUUGGUUAAACUAUACCAUCAACUCUUCCUCAUUCCUUUGGGCCUACAUUCCCUAUUUCCCACGUCUCUCUGUCUACUUGUUAUCCUACCCAGCUAGGCCCAGGCACACGCUAUCUUGCAGGUGCAAAACUCAAAAAUACCUGUGUUCGGUACUUUCCCAGCUCCUGGUCGGCUAACGAGCGAAUGUCUGCGUGACCUCUGUCAUGGAGCCAUUUCUCCACACUAUACUAUCAAAGUUUAAAGGUAAAUUAUUAUAUAUUAGGAGAUGGUGUAAAGUGUAUGUUGUAAUGUGUAGGAUAUAUACAAAGAUACAUUCUUGAAAGUCUGUAGAGGAAACAAAUUUUUACGCCUUCUGUUUGACUGUUUGUCAUAUAUUUGGUUUUAUUUCCCAGGGAUCAGUGAAUUUUAACUCUGGAGUCCUCUAUGCUAAGGAUGCUCAGCUUACAGAUGAUGAAAUGUUCAGUAAUGUAUUUGCUGGAGCUGUGCUUACCCAAGGUUUGGGUAAAACAAGCUUUGGGUUCCCUCUGUCUCACUGGGAGUUGCCCAAUUCAGUUGCAUCUGGUGAAAUUCACCCUGAGACCUUACAGAACCAGCUCCAACUACGUGAGAGCCAUUUGCAGUUCUCUCCAGACGCCUGGAGAAUGGGCGACGUUUCUGAGGAUCCGGCGAGCGUGCUUCUAUCAAAACUCAGUCUGUGAAAUUUCUGGGGAAAACCCUUCUGUGUCCUGAAGGGUUCAAACUCUGGUGAGGAUCCAGUUAUCAGGUGCUCACCUGGAUGGUUCCAGCUCCCAAAGGGAAAGACUCUCGUAUCCUUGUCGUCGGGCUCGGUGCUGUCCAAGAAGAUACAGAGACUAAAAAAAUCAUAAGAAGCAAAAUAUGACUGCAGGGAAAAGAAGCUGGAGAGAACAGAAGGGGCUGUUUCCAAAGUGACCUACAGACAUUGGAAUGAAAUCAUUAUUUACUGUGUAAAAGAAUCACUCUCCAAAGCAUCAGCCAGGGUCUAAAUGUGCCAUUCUGCCUUUUAAAAGUACCAACAUCACAGGAUUUUUCUCAGAUUAAAGCUUCCAUGGAGUCGGAUCUCUCAAGCCUGGCCCUUGAGAAUUGUGGGCCUCCUGUGAACUGGUCUUGCCAGAAGGGCUUGCUGAGUUUUCCAUUGUGUGGAAAAGAGAUCCCAUUUGGAGCCUGAAGCCUCGUGUUUCCUGUAGGAUUUCCACUCCUAGAAUUGCACACUUUGAAGGAUUUCUUAUAGCAGAAGUUUUUUGGGAACUAGGACUCUGGCUGGAUUUGGGUCUCUGGACUCUCAGGUGAAGUGACCUUGAGACACUAGGGCAUGCAGAUUUCCUUGCUGUUGAAAAGAGCUAUUGUUCGCACCCAGGAGCCAUGGUCUGAAUGGGGGUGUCACCUCUUAAAUUUGCAAAUGUCACAGGAUUUCUUCUAAAUGAAUGGUGCUAAGAACAUAAGGUCUGGCUGGCUUUUGACUUAGAGGCGCCUCCUCUAAAUUGGUCUUCAGACGCUAGGUUGGAAAGUGUUCCUACAUAUGCCAAAUAGCCCUUGUUAUGCAAUUAAUAAGCUUCAAAGUACCAUGGAGUUGCUGCCCCUGCAAAGAUUUUGGCAGAGCCUGGUUGUGGUGCCCCACUCCACUCCACCACCCUUAGCAGGUCCUUAUGGUUGCAUGGGGAAUCAUCGUGGAGCAUGCCAACCCAGCUCCAUCCUGGGAACAGCACCUGUAUUUUACCCUAAAAUUUCUGUCCCAUUAUAGCUCCUGUUAGGAUACAAAUGUAACUUCUUGGUUUCCACUGAUUUUACCCCCAGUCAUCUUUCCAUACAGACAUUGCUCCACUCCCCAGAGGAUUAUUGUGAGCAGAUGUGAGCUCUGCUGUCCCUUUGGACUGACAAAGACAGAGGUUUUGUCCCAAGUUGCUUUUGAACCUGUCCUGCACCUGUUACGAGUCCUCAGUCUCCUGCAAUUUUGUGGGUCAGUCACAUGUAAAACAGCACAGCUGGCUGGCAUGCUUUGCUCAUGAGGGGAGACAAGAGAAGAAUCCCUCUGCUCACACCAGACCUGCAGCUGCCAAACCUCACCAAAGCACCUGAGGAGCCCCCAGGGACUGAUGGUACAGAAGGGAGGUGAUGGAGGACAGCACAGCAGGCAGCCUGCCCUCCAUCUGGGUGUGAAGAAGGCAGGGCUGGGAACUGUAAGCAACAUCCCAGCAGGUCUGGCUGAUGGUGCCACCCUGAGGGCUUCCCCUGCCUUUGGGCAGUCCCAGCUGCUGCAGCUCACUUGACAGAGACUCAUUGUCUAUACUGUGCUUGGCUGCACUGGAGAUGAUGAAGCCGAGGACAGCAAUGGUUGCCUUCACAUCCCCUGACUGCAGAUGGGAAGGAGGGCGAGCUCUGUCACCUUGGGAAGGCGUCUGCAGAGUCACUGCUGCCCGUCUCUGGAGCGUGGCUCCAUUGGGGGACCGUGGUAAGGACAGCAGUGCUCACUUAACUGUGCACCUGAGGACAGCUUCAGGAUCUUGUCAUACUGUGGGAGAGCAGAGCUUCACAGUAAACACCAGCUAACACACUGACUGCCAGUGUUAACACUAACAGUUCUUACCUAAAUAUUAAUACUAGUAACACUUACUAUGCGUAUUAUUAAUCCUAGUAGAGGCUGGUAGCGUUCUUUAGGCUGAGGCUUGCAUGAAGAAUACAAAAUUAAUUAACGUUGCUGAUUAUGCUAUUGUGUUGAAAUACUUGGCCUCCACUGCGGUAGCCCCACGCUUACCUCGAUGGCCUGCCCCAGCAGGUCCCAAAACACCUGGAUGCAGAUCAGCUUAAGCUUCACUGAUGUGAUAAACAGAGUUCACUCUUUAUAAUUUUUAAAAUUUUAAUAAAGGAUAAAAGGACAAAAUAAUCCAGCACUGGGAUGCUUUUAGCACACAGCCAAAGAGCACAGAGGUAGCUUAAAAACAUGUUCACUAUAUACUGUUACAUUGCUGAGGUUACAGGCAUAUUCAUUAACUUACACAUUAUUCAAACAUUCCUUUAACUUUUUGAUGUUCCAGGAACUCUCUUGUUUGGUUUUAACCUCUGACUUGUCUGCAGAACGUUCUGUAAAUUAGGUCUACAUAUUUUAUUUCUUCCUGUAGUUUUAUCCUGUUGCUUCACACUCCCUGAUAACACUGGUAAGAGUCGAUAAAUCCUUCCUGGAUGCUUAA